CAAGUCGAACGAAUCCCAGGGGGGGUAACUCUCCUGGGGGAAGUGGCGAAAGGGGCAGUAAUGCGUGGGUAACCUGCCCGGGGGACGGGGAUAGCCCUCCUAACGGAGGGGUAAUACCCGGCGACCUGGCUGGAGGGCAUCUUCUGGCCAGCAAAUGAGUUUCGCCCCCGGAGGGGCUCACGUGGUAUUAGCUAGACGGCGGGGUAACGGCCCACCGUGGCAAAGAUGCCUAGCAGGUGUGAGAGCACGACCUGCGCCACUGGCACUGGGACACUGGCCAGACUCCUACGGGAGGCUGCAGUCGAGGAUCUUCGGCAAUGGGCGCAAGCCUGACCGAGCGACGCCGCGUGUGCGACGAAGGCCUUCGGGUUGUAAAGCACUGUCGAGGGGGAGGAAAGCCGCAAGGCCUGACCGACCCCUGGAGGAAGCACGGGCUAAGUUCGUGCCAGCAGCCGCGGUAAGACGAACCGUGCGAACGUUGUUCGGAUUCACUGGGCUUAAAGGGCGCGUAGGCGGGCACCCAAGUCAGGGGUGAAAUCCCCCGGCCCAACCGGGGAAGUGCCUCUGAUACUGGGUGCCUCGAGCGGGAUAGGGGCAGCUGGAACUUCCGGUGGAGCGGUGAAAUGCGUAGAUAUCGGAAGGAACGCCGGUGGCGAAAGCGAGCUGCUGGAUCCCUCCUGACGCUGAGGCGCGAAAGCCAGGGGAGCGAACGGGAUUAGAUACCCCGGUAGUCCUGGCCCUAAACGAUGGGCACCAGGCCGUGGGCCAGCAUGGGCUCACAGCCGAGGCAAAGUGUUAAGUGCCCC
rnacentral:rRNA from 1 species